AUGAACGCUGGCGGCGUGCCUAAUACAUGCAAGUCGAGCGAACAGACGAGGAGCUUGCUCCUCUGACGUUAGCGGCGGACGGGUGAGUAACACGUGGAUAACCCACCUAUAAGACUGGGAUAACUUCGGGAAACCGGAGCUAAUACCGGAUAAUAUAUUGAACCGCAUGGUUCAAUAGUGAAAGACGGUUUUGCUGUCACUUAUAGAUGGAUCCGCGCCGCAUUAGCUAGUUGGUAAGGUAACAGCUUACCAAGGCAACGAUGCGUAGCCGACCUGAGAGGGUGAUCGGCCACACUGGAACUGAGACACGGUCCAGACUCCUACGGGAGGCAGCAGUAGGGAAUCUUCCGCAAUGGGCGAAAGCCUGACGGAGCAACGCCGCGUGAGUGAUGAAGGUCUUCGGAUCGUAAAACUCUGUUAUUAGGGAAGAACAAAUGUGUAAGUAACUAUGCACGUCUUGACGGUACCUAAUCAGAAAGCCACGGCUAACUACGUG
rnacentral:rRNA from 1 species